UAUGUGAUCGUCUCUCGCAUAUCAAUAAGCGGAGGAAAAGAAACUAACAAGGAUUCCCCUAGUAACGGCGAGUGAAGCGGGAAGAGCUCAAAUUUGAAAUCUUAAAGGGUUUCCCUUUACGAAUUGUAGUUUAAAGAAGUGUUUUCUGUUGAGGUUUUGGUAAAAGUUCUUUGGAAUAGGACAUCAUAGAGGGUGAGAAUCCCGUAUUUGACCUUUACUUUCAACUUUGUGAUACACUUUCAAAGAGUCGGAUUGUUUGGGAAUGCAGUCCAAAAUGGGUGGUAAAUUUCAUCUAAAGCUAAAUAUUGGCGAGAGACCGAUAGCGAACAAGUACCGUGAGGGAAAGAUGAAAAGAACUUUGAAAAGAGAGUUAAACAGUACGUGAAAUUGUCAAAAGGGAAGCGUUUGACACCAGUGUUGUUUUUCUGAAAAUCAAUUAAAGAACUGUUUAUGCUAAGUUGUUUAGACUUUAUCAGCUAAUCUGUUUAGUUUUGAGCUUUUCUUUAAUGCACUUUUCAGUUAACAAGUCAACAUCAAUUUCUUUUGCUGUAAAAAAGCUUGAGGAAGGUGGCUUGAGAUUCGUCUUAAGUGUUUAUAGCCUCUUGCCUAUGCAGUCGGAGAGAUUGAGGUCUGCAGCGUAGAUCCUUCGGGGCUAAAUGCAUUUGUGCUAAGUUAUAGCAUUUUAUAGACAACUUGUUGACUAUGAUUUGUCUUGUAGCUUACUCGCUUAUGUUAUUUUACCUACGCUUAGGAUGUUGAGUAGCGACAUACGCAC
rnacentral:rRNA from 1 species